UCCUAGCCCAGAUUAAAGCUAAAAUCCUUUUUAUUUUUUCUUUAAAAAUAAAAAGAUUGUAACGGAAAGCUGGAAAUAGC
rnacentral:sRNA from 1 species